rnacentral:rRNA from 1 species
UACGAAGGGGGCUAGCGUUGCUCGGAAUCACUGGGCGUAAAGGGUGCGUAGGCGGGGCUUUAAGUCAGGGGGGAAAUCCUGGAGCUCAACUCCAGAACUGCCUUUGAUACUGAAGAUCUUGAGUUCGGGAGAGGUGAGUGGAACUGCGAGUGUAGAGGUGAAAUUCGUAGAUAUUCGCAAGAACACCAGUGGCGAAGGCGGCUCCCUGGCCUGAUCCUGACGCUGAGGCACGAAAGCGUGGGGAGCAAACAGG